CAAUAGCGUAUAUUAAAGUUGUUGCAGUUAAAAGCUCGUAGUUGAACUUCGGAACCGGUCGAUUGGUCCGUCCUCUGGAUUGUGUACUGAUCGAUCUGUUCUUCUUCGCGAAGACCGCGUGUGCCCUUAACUGGGUGUGCACGGGAUUCACGACGUUUACUUUGAAAAAUUAGAGUGUUCAAAGCAGGCUAUUGCUUGAAUACAUGAGCAUGGAAUAAUGGAAUAGGACUUUGGUCCCAUUUUGUUGGUUUUCUAGGGCCGAAGUAAUGAUUAAGAGGGACAAUUGGGGGCAUCCGUAUUUCGUUGUCAGAGGUGAAAUUCUUGGAUUUACGAAAGACGA
rnacentral:rRNA from 1 species